rnacentral:ncRNA from 2 species
UCGGCGAAAGAUCGCGCCGGUGCCCCGCAAGGGGCUUAAAAGGGAACGCGGUGAGGAUGUUCUCAUCCGAAUCCGGGGCUGUCCCUGCAACUGUAAGUGGCGAGCGCGAUGCAUAGGCCGGUGCCCCGAAGGUGGUCGCCGGCAGCCACUGGGCCGGACGCUGCGACAUGCGAGGCCACGGGAAGGCCAUGCAUCAAGCGAUGACCCGCGAGCCAGGAGACCUGCCUGCGUCCGGUCGCUCUU